rnacentral:rRNA from 1 species
GUGAGUAAACAGUGCGUGAAACCGCUCAGAGGUAAACGGGUGGAGUUGAACUGCGAUCCUUGGGAAUUCAGCUGGCGAGUGUGACUUGUGCUUGGGCAUAUUGACCGCCCUACUGUGUCUGCUUAUGCGGGUACCUGCCUCUGGUAGGUAUGUGUGGUGCACUUAUCAUGUGCCGCACGCAUGGAGGGGUGUGUGGGUCUGCUUGUCAGUGCACUUUCUCAGGGUGUUCACCACGACCGGCACUGCCGUCUGUCUGCUGUAGUCAAACUGAUCAGGUCUGAUUAACGUUGGGCUUGGUUGGGUUGGCAGGUGACUCACUGGUCCAUUCUGUGGGCUAUGAGUGUUACUAGCCGGCUAUAGUGGAUCUGUACGGUGUGUCGGAGAUGGCGGCUUUGCAUACGUGCUCUGUCCUUCAGGCGUGGUCGAGUCUGGUCGACUUGUUGCCAGUUUCGGCUGGUCAGUUGAUGGCUUGGUCAUGUUCAGUUGGCAGUGGUGUGUGUGUCUUAGUUUGGGCCAAUAGUCUGUGGUGUUGUGGUAGACUAUCCACCUG